rnacentral:rRNA from 1 species
UAAUCAAUCAUAAAAUAACCCUUUUUCUUCCAACAUUGAGUUUAAGGGUCCGUAGGUGGAGGAUUAAGUCAGAGGUGAAAUCCCGCGGCUCAACUGAAGAACUGCCUUUGAUACUGGUCCUCUUGAAUGGUCGUGAAUUGGCCGGAAUAUGUGGUGUAGCGGUGAAAUGCAUAGAUAUCACAUAGAACACCGAUUGCGAAGGCAGGUCACUAACGACCCAUUGACACUGAUGGACGAAAGCGUGGGGAGCGAACGGGAUUAGAUACCCCGGUAGUCCACGCCGUAAACGAUGGAUACUAGCUGUUCGGAUUUACCUGAGUGGCCCAGCGAAAGUGAUAAGUAUCCCACCUGGGGAGUACGUUCGCAAGAAUGAAACUCAAAGGAAUUGACGGGGGCCCGCACAAGCGGUGGAGCAUGUGGUUUAAUUCGAUGAUACGCGAGGAACCUUACCAGGGCUUAAAUGCAGGCUGCAUGGGGCGGAGACGUCCCUUUCUUCGGACCGCCUGCAAGGUGCUGCAUGGUUGUCGUCAGCUCGUGCCGUGAGGUGUCACGUUAAGUCCUAUAACGAGCGCAACCCCUGUGGUUCAGUUGCCAGCGAAUUGAUGUCGGGAACUUCUGGCCAGACUGCCCGGUGGCAAAACCCGCGAGGAAGGUGGGGGAUG